GGUGUCAUAGCUCAGUUGGUAGAGCAAGGACUGAAAAUCCUUGUGUCCCCGGUUCGAUUCCUGGUGACACCA
rnacentral:tRNA from 1 species